AUUGCAAAGUUUUUAUUCAACCCCCAGAACUCAUGGUAUCAUUCUUAGAGUUUUUUAAGUGGUUCCGCCACUGGACUGCAUUAGAGCUCUUUAUAUUUGAAAGUACAUCAGUGAAAAAUAAAAACAUCAUCACCAUUCAGCCAAAUGCCAUUCCUUCUCCCAGUAAAAUUUAAAUUACACAAUGUACUUUUACCAUUUUCUUCUUUUACAUGCGUAAAAAAUUUAAAUGCCAUACUGAAAGAAUCUAUAUUAUAAAAUGUAUAUUAAAAAUAGAUUGAAGACUUUAUUUUUCAGAGGUUACAAGGGUUACUGUAAAGUCUAAGGGAAUGCAGUGGGUCACCUAAACAUGUUUUUGGAAGUGGUAAACUGUGGGAAAAUACGUGAAAGAAUUUUUUGUUGCUGUUGACAAGCAUUCAAAGUAUGUGUAUGUAUUUAUUUCAUUCAAUGUGCUAUUAGUCACAUGUUUAUAUUAAGAAUCAUGGUUAUUCUAAUAGUUUUGACUUGAUCUUAACAGAGUUUUAUGAAUAGUUUGCAAGUAAAAACAAUUGGUUGACAUUCACAUGGGCUAACUUCAUUUUAAAAUAAUAUGUUAUGAUAGUAAAGUAUUCCUUGAUUCUUCAUGUUUAUUUUCAAAUAUGAAUUCCUCAGAUUCCUUCUUUGUUACAUAUUUCAUCAAUACUCUAAAAGGUAGAAGAUUGUGAACUAUAUUUUAAAUAUAAAAAUGUUUUCUACCUUUUAAUCUGUAGGUAAGUGCCAUUGAUUUAGAUUACAAGUUUGGAAAAGAGUAAAAUGAUUGAUCUUGUAUUUGGGAAGGUAAUUAACUUUUUUUUUUUGUUCUCUUAAUAUUAGAAGUGUCCUUGGGUGUUUUUAAUUUGAAAAGAAGGUGUAAUCAGUGACAGAGCUGCAGUAAAACAUUGUGUUAUUAGUUUGUUACUUAUUUAUUGUCUGUUGUGUGCCAGCCAUUGAUCUUGGUACUGGAAGUACAGCAGUGGGAGUAAAAAGUUAAAGACAAAGCCAUGAAUCAUAGGUUUCAGUAAUGAGAACUGACAACAAACUGCUAUGAGUAAAACGUUAGAAAUAACCAAGGCUAUGAAGAAAAUAAUUUUUAGAAAUUAAAUUUAUAAUAUGUGUAUAUUAAUCUAUCUUCUUCUGGAGAGAGUGCCAUUUUAAGUAUUUUGCUUAUUUCAUAUAUAAUUCAAGUAUCAUUAAUCAGAUUCACUGUGUUUGAAUUCCGUAUCUUUGAAUUAUAUACCUACUGUAAAUAUGUAUGCAGUCACAUUAUGUGGCUAUUACUCUAUGAAAUCCCUUCCUGUGAUACUGUGUCCAUAUUUUCCUUAUCAGUGGUAGUCAUCUGUUUAUUUGAAAAUGGGGGAGGAAGAAGGUUAUCAUCUUCAUUCGUUAGUCAUUCAGUAUUAGCACACUUGAAUUUCAUUGGUAUAAAUGAAUUGCACACGUACUAUGUUUUAGCAAGAGCAAAACCUCAUUGGGAACUUUCACAUCAUGUUAGUUUCAUAAUGGCAUAAGGUCUUUCUUAAGCUGUGAAAUGAUUAAAAUAAUUCUAGCUCCAGUGUAUCCAAUUUAAGGUUUCUCUUGGGAAAUCAGAAGUUUCUUUGUGGUGUUUCUUUGAAUUUAAAAUCAUUAAGCAUUAGAUUGUUUUCAACUAAAUUUUAUUAUUAAAACUACUUUGUAACUCUGGCACAAGGUACAUUAACUUGCAUAUUAAAGUAAUAAAGCCGAAGAAAGACUGUG